rnacentral:tRNA from 1 species
GGGCGAGUGUCGGAACCGGCAGACGAGGCGGACUUAAAAUCCGCUGGGGUGACACCCCGUGAGGGAUCGAAGCCCUCCUCGCCCACCA